CGCAGGGUAGAGAAGUUUGGUUAUCUCGUCAGCCUCAUGAGCUGAAGAUCGUUGGUUCAAAUCCAACCCCUGCAUCCA
rnacentral:tRNA from 1 species